AUCUUAUUUUAGGCCGAUUACAUAUUGUCGCUUAAAAAUAUUCUCUAGGUUGGUAUUGGGGUUGAUUCGACCGAUAAUGCUACUGAAAAUCGUGGCCUUGCAUUUUCGAUUGGAGCCGAAGACCGUAUAGAUGCGAUGGUCACCAUUCCAACAAUUUUGAAAAAGUAUAAUGCAGAUCUUGUUGGUUACUCUUACGGAGCUGGAACGUCCGGUUUGUCAAUUUCUGGUUUCAAUGUUGCUAUGAGAGGAGCAAAAUCACAGUAAGAUUUGUUUGUACAGAAUGCCUAUUUAUCAAAA